rnacentral:lncRNA from 1 species
UGGUUUUGGUAUCAGGGUAAUGGUGGCCUCAUAGGAUGAGUUUGGGAGUGUCCCUUCCCCUGCAAUUUUUUGAAAUAGUUUCAGAAGGAUAGGUAUUGGCCCUUUUCUAAAUGUUUGAUAGAAUUCACCUGUGAAGCCAUCUGGUCCUGGACUUUUGUUUGUUGGAAGUUUUUUAAUCACAGUUUCCAUUUCAGUUCUUGUGAUUGGUCCAUUCUUCUUUUCUAUUUCGUCUUGGUUUAGUCUUGUAAGAUUGUCCUUUUCUAAGAAUUUGUCCACUUUUUCUGGGUUUUCCAUUUUAUUGGCAUAUAGUUGCAUAUAGUAGUCUCUUAUGAUCCUUUGUAUUUCUGUGAUGUCCAUUGUUACUUCUCCUUUUUCAUUUCUACUUUUAUUGAUUUGCAUCUUCUCUCUUUUUUUCUUGAUAAGUCUUGCUAAAGGUUUAUCAGUUUUGUUGAUCUCUUCAAAGAACCAAGAUUUCAUUUCAUUGAUCUUUUCUAUGGUUUUCUUUGUUUCUAUUUCAUUGAUUUCUACUCUUAUCUUUAUGAUUUCUUUCCUUCUACUAACUUUAGGUCUUGUCUGUCCUAUCUUGAGCUGCUUUAGAUAUAAAGUUAACUUGUUUUUUUGAGCUUUUUCUUGUUUCCUGAAGUGGGCUGGUAUUGCUAUAAACAUUUCUGUUAGAUAGUGUUUGCUGCAUCCCAUAUGUUUGGAGUGUUUUACCUUUGUUGUCAUUUGCUUCUAGGGAUUUUUUUAAUUUCCUCUUUGAUUUCUUCAGUGAUCCAUUGGUUGUUUAUUAGCAUGUUGUUUAGUCUCCAUUGUUUGUAUUUUUUGCAUUUUUUUCUUGUUGAUGAUUUCCAGUUGUACAGCGUUGUGGUCAGAAAAGAUGCUUGAUAUGAUUUCAAUUUUCUUAAAGUUACUGAGGUUGGAUUUUUUAGCCCUGGAUGUGAUCAAUCUUAGAGAAUGUUCCCUGUGCACUUGAGAAGAAUGUGUAUUCUUUUGCUUUUGGAUCUGUUUUAAUGCUUCAUUCAGGGCCUGUGUUUCCUUAUUGAUUUUCUGUCUGGUUGAUCUGUCCAUUGCUGUAAGUGGGGUGUUAAAGUACCCUACUAUUAUUGUGUUAUUGUCGAUUUGUUCUUUUAGGUUGUUAGCAGUUGCCUUAUAUAUUGUGGUGAACCUAUGUUGCAGGCAAAGAUAUUUAAAAUUGUUAAAUUUUUAUUUCUUCUUCUUGGAUUGAUCCUUUGAUCAUUAUAUAAUGACCUUCCUUGUCCCUUAAAAUAUUCUUCAUUUUAAGGUCUAUUUUGUCUGAUAUGAGUAUUGCUACUCAAGCUUCCUUUUGAUCCCCGUUUGCAUGGAAUAUUUUCUUCCAUCCUCUCGCUUUCAAUUUAUAUGUGUCCCUAGAAGUGAAGUGGAUCUUUUGAAGACAGCAUAUAUAUGGAUCUUGUUUUUGUAUCCAUUCAGCCAGUGUAUAUCUUUUGGUUGGGGCGUUUAGUCCGUUCACAUUUAAGGUAAUUAUUGAUGUGUAUGUUCUUAUUGCCAUUUUAUUAAUUGCUUUGGAUUUGUUUUUGUUGCUCCUUUUUCUUCCCUUCUCUUGUUCUCUCCUCUUCUGGUUUGAUGACUAUCUUUAGUGUUGUAUUUGAGUUGAUUUUUCUUAUUUGUGUAUCAAUUGUAGAUUUUUGGUUUCCCAUUAUUUUGAAGUUUUGAUAUGAGUAUCUCUCUCUCUAUCUAUAUAUAUAUAUGAGAUUGUUAGAAGUUGUUGGUCUCUUAAUUGCAAGUGCAUCUCCAGUGUCCUGCUUUUGUACCCUCCUCUUCUCAUGGUUUCCGAUUUGGUGGCAUAAUUGUGCAUGGAUGAUUUCAUGUCUUUACUGUAUAUAUACCUUUAUUGGUGAGCCUUGUCACUUCAUUUGUGGUAUUUUUGUUUCUGGUUGUGGCCUUUUAUUUUCUGCCUGGAGAAGUUCCUUUAGUAUUUGUUGUAAAGCUGGUUUGGUGGUGUUGAAUCCUUUAGGCUUUGCUUAUCUGUGAAGCUUUUUGAUUUCUCCUUCAAAUCUGAGUUAGAGCCUUGGUGGUUAAAGUAAUCUUGGUUGGAGGCUUUUUCCUUUCAUCACUCUAAGUAUAUUGUCCCAGUCCCUUCUAGCCUGCAGAGUUUCUGCUGACUAAUCUGCUGAUAACCUUAUCAGGGUUCCCUUGUAUGUUAUUUGUUUCUUUUCCCUUGCUGCUUUCAAUAUUUUCUCUUUGUCUUUAAUUUUGGUCCGUUUGGUUAAUAUGUGUUGUGGGGUGUUCCUCCUUGGGUUUAUUUUUUAUGGUACUCAUUGCACUUCCCGGAUUUGAGUGAGUGGCUCCUUUCCCAUGUUAGGGAAGUUCUUGGCUAUUAUCUCUUUGAAUAUUUUUUUCUGUCCCUUUCUCUCUCUCUUCUUCUGUCACCCCUAUUAUAUGGAUGUUGGUGCAUUUAACAUAGUCCCAGAGUUCUCUGAGACUCUCUUCAUUUCUUUUCAAUCUUUUUUCUGUUUUGAGUUCCACAUCAGUGAUUUCCACUUGUCUGUCCUCCACCUUGCUUAUUCAUUCUUUUGCCUCCUGUAUUCUGCUCUUGGUUGCCUCUAAUGAAUUUUUUAUUUUAGUUAUUGUAUUUUGCAUCUCUCCUUGCUUAAGUUUUAUAUCACAUAUUUCUUUGCUCGGUGUUUCCUGUAA